GAUGAACGCUAGCUACAGGCUUAACACAUGCAAGUCGAGGGGAAACGGCAUUAAGUGCUUGCACUUUUUGGACGUCGACCGGCGCACGGGUGAGUAACGCGUAUCCAACCUUCCCAUGACUAAGGGAUAACCUGCCGAAAGGCAGACUAAUACCUUAUGGUCUUCACUGACGGCAUCAGAUGUGAAGUAAAGAUUUAUCGGUUAUGGAUGGGGAUGCGUCUGAUUAGCUUGUUGGCGGGGUAACGGCCCACCAAGGCGACGAUCAGUAGGGGUUCUGAGAGGAAGGUCCCCCACAUUGGAACUGAGACACGGUCCAAACUCCUACGGGAGGCAGCAGUGAGGAAUAUUGGUCAAUGGACGAGAGUCUGAACCAGCCAAGUAGCGUGCAGGAUGACGGCCCUAUGGGUUGUAAACUGCUUUUGUAUGGGGAUAAAGUCAAUCACGUGUGAUUGUUUGCAGGUACCAUACGAAUAAGGACCGGCUAAUUCCGUGCCAGCAGCCGCGGUAAUACGGAAGGUCCGGGCGUUAUCCGGAUUUAUUGGGUUUAAAGGGAGCGUAGGCCGGAGAUUAAGUGUGUUGUGAAAUGUAGACGCUCAACGUCUGACUUGCAGCGCAUACUGGUUUCCUUGAGUACGCACAACGUUGGCGGAAUUCGUCGUGUAGCGGUGAAAUGCUUAGAUAUGACGAAGAACUCCGAUUGCGAAGGCAGCUGACGGGAGCGCAACUGACGCUUAAGCUCGAAGGUGCGGGUAUCGAACAGG
rnacentral:rRNA from 1 species